GCGAUUUUUACUGGUUUGAUCCUCUUAAUCUGUCUUCUCAAUGUUGUAUAAAUGCAAAAAAUUCACCGAAAAACAAUUGUGUUCGUAAUCAAGAACUAUUUUAUAUAGAAAAUAGCAGUUGCCUUUUAAGUUUGUGAAGGCAGCUUAGAGUAGAGAAGUGGCAGUAUCCGUGUAGCCUCUUGUAGAAGCGGUGUUAUAAAACAGCAGUAAGCAUGUCGAUUUUGAAUACUGUGCAAUAAAUUCGGUGGUGGGGAAGACAAAAUUUAAGUAAAAAUUCAAUAAUCUAAGCACAGAGGAGAGAAGAGAGAGGUCUACAGGAAAAUGGAGCAGCUGCGAUGGUCUAAGCGGGAUAUCUAUGAAUAUGUCCCACACGUAGCUCGAAAAAAAGAAAAGCAACUCUAAAUUUGGAGAGUUCAAGCAAUUUGUAUGUCGAGCUCGGUAGCGUGAGCUUGUAACCCUAGUGGGGACACGUAAGGUGGAGGAACAGGCGGGUCUAAGGCCGGCAGGAGGGAAGAUGCGUGGCAUAUAAUGUGGCGCGCCCUGAUCCAAGUAGAGAGUUGUUGUGAGGCCCUCCCUCGAAGGAAGGAGGUUCUGUCUCGCAGCGUAAGGCGGAGGAGACCGCGUGAGGCUGGUUUCACAGAGCAACGACUACCUCCCGCUCCUUACAGUGGAAGGAUUACGUGCCGCUUGCCCCUCUGACCAUUAAUCCUCCCGGCCUGCCCAUCCUCGAACCCCCACCAUUUGCACAAAAUUUUAUUUGCCAUGAAUAGAUGAGGAGCGUGAUUGAAUGAUACUGAGAUGCUGAACGGAUUUCUUUCGAUGAAGAAUAUCUGGCAAUGAUGAAGAACUUUGGUAGACAACAACGAUCUAGAUGGCUUCCUAGAGUUUCAACUCAUUUGUCAGGUUUCUGAGCAGGGAUAUGACUAUAGGGAGGCAUUAAGUUAGAGCAUACUUUUCCAUGAAGCUCAGAGAGUCAGAGGUCGGGGAAGCUUCCCCUCACUCAGAGGGUUAGAUUCUAGACUCAGCGAUGGAGGUGCCAAUGGGAUCGAUUUAACUGGUGGAGAGAAAAUGUUAAGUUUGCUCUUCCAAUGGCAUAUGCUGUCACCAUGCUAGCCCUGAGUGCGAUUGAGUAUAGAAAACAAUAGUAAGAUAGUGGAGAGCUGGUCAAUUUCCUGGAGGCCAUAAAAUUGGGUACUCAUUACCUCUUUUAAAAGCUAGAUGUAUUGUAUGGGCAAGUUAGUGAUGGCAUUUCAGACCAUGACUGUUGGCAGAGACAACUCCAGUGGAAAGAAUUUGCAAUGCCCAAAUGGAAAUGCAGAGCCCUCUGAUUUCCUAGCCUUGGCUAAAUCACUAGUUGAUUAUGUACUUGGUGAAAACCCAGGAGCCAUUAGCUACUGAUCACCAAAAUUAAAUGAGCAUAUGAUAUAAGGGGAUCAAACCAUGUAUUUCAGAUGGGUUUGGAUUAUGUUAAUCUUCUCACUUCUCAUUCUUGGUUUGCAGAUUGAUCUACGAGUCUCUGUGUUUCUGUAGUCAAUGUAAUCAAUGUCAAAAUUCAAAUAAAACAAAUUAUUGAUUUA